rnacentral:rRNA from 1 species
UACGGAGGAUGCGAGCGUUAUCCGGAUUUAUUGGGUUUAAAGGGUGCGUAGGCGGGUUAUCAAGUCAGCGGUAAAAUCGUGGAGCUCAACUCCAUCCAGCCGUUGAAACUGAUGAUCUUGAGUGGGCGAGAAGUAUGCGGAGUGCGUGGUGUAGCGGUGAAAUGCAUAGAUAUCACGCAGAACUCCGAUUGCGAAGGCAGCAUACCGGCGCCCGACUGACGCUGAAGCACGAAAGCGUGGGUAUCGAACAGG